CCUCCAUCUCAAAACAACGUGUUUUUAGUGUUGACUCACCUGUGGAGUGGUCUGAGCCUGAAUGCCCGGGGCUGUGGCCACCGAGUGAACGGGCUGUGCUAAGGGGAAUUGCCACCUUGGGAAACCUGUGUAGUUGCGGCUUUUCUGAUUAAGUAUCAAUAAAAGUCUGACCUUGUGAAAAAAGCAAACGUGAGUGGCCCUGCUUAUGUUUCACCUUGCGUUGCUCAGUGAUAGUUCUGCAAAGUCGCAGGAAACCUGGAAUCAUCUAAUUAUCGCACAUGACAGCCUUCUUGCAAUCAAGAAACUACGUGUGGCCAGGAUCUCAUCCACUAUCACAGUUUCAGCUUUCCCCAAACUGGAAUGUGUCUUUGCAGACGCCCAUCCUUAUUAAAGGGCAAAGACUUCUCAUACACCUAGGAUGGAUCUUAUAUUCUUGGCGGGACUGCAGAGAAGGUGCCGUGUCCUGAGUCCUCAUGUCAGGGCACAGGCUUCCAGCCAGUUCUACCUGGGUUAUGUUUAUCUCAAUUCCCUGGUGGUAUUGGUGUCUGCUGGGUUUUGCCAGAAUGAAGACACCGUGUUUUCAUUUGUCAGUUGAUUCGUAUUUUCCAGGAAGACAUUCUGAGAUUACAGCAUUGUCUUAGUCAAGGUGCUGCAGAAGGACAGAACUAAUAGGAUAUAUGUACAUAUGAAAGAAAGUUUAUGAAGAACUGGCUCACACCAUCACAAGGCAAAGUCCCAUGACAGGCCAUCUGCAAGCUGAGGAGCGAGGAAGCCAGCAGUGGCUCAGCCGGAGUCCAACAGCCUCAAACGGAAUCCAACAGUUCAGGCUUCAGUCUGUGGCCAAAUGCCCAGAGACCCCGGAAAGCUACUGGUGUUAGUCCCAGAGCCGGAAGGCCAAAGAACCUGGAGUGUGAUGUCCAAGGGCAGGAGGAAUGGACAGAAGCAUCCAGCAUGGGGUAAAGACGAAAGCCAGAAGACUCAGCAAGCUAGCUUACCUACUUUCUUCUGCCUGCCUUGUUCUAGCCGCGCUGGCAGCCGGUUGGAGGGUGCCCACCCCCACUGAGGGUGGAUCUUCCUCUCCUAGUCCACUGACUCAAAUUUCAGUCUCUCUGGGAGCACCAUCACACCAGAAACAAUACCAGCCAUCUAGCCACCCUUCAGUUCACCAUCACAACCAUUGUCUUAUUCAUGAAACUUCUGCAGACCCACCUUAACCUCCAUCGGUGACUUCUACCUGAAGCCCUCUGAUUGUUGCCCAGUGGUGCUUUUUAAAAUAAUUUCCAUAGUUUCUUCUACACCUUUAGUUGGCAUUCUACUGUAAAGGAGAGAUUUUAUUUUCUUACUCAUUUAUUUGUUAGUUUAUAGUCACCACCAUAUGGAUGCAGAGUUCUGUCUCAUUCACUGGGAAGUAUUCUAUUGCAGUCAUGAUUUAUUUUGAUGUUCACAUCCCAGAGUUGGUGAGUGAGCGCCCCUUCACGCUGGCUCCCGAGUGCUGACGUGUCCCCGUCCUUCUCUGCACUUUUCCUUACCUCCUGGCCUCAGAUAUUCCAGGGUCAUUUGUUCUCUCCCUGCUCCAACCCUGCAGUCAGCCAUCUCCCUAGGGACGUUGGUUCCUUUAUGGAAGGUGGCAUUUAGAAGCCAGGAUUUGGGCUGAGCACUGUGGCUCAUGCUUGUAAUCCCAGCACUUGGGGAGGCCGAAGUGGGCGGAUCGCUGGAGGCCAAGAGUCUGAGACCAGCCUGGCUAACAUGGUGAAACCCUUCCCCG
ensembl:lncRNA ZFAND2A-DT ZFAND2A divergent transcript